AGGUACGCCUGAAAAGAAGCCAAGACGUGUUGCGGUUGCCUCUUGGCUCGUUUGCUGCCUUUGCCCUUUUCUCUAUUCGUCUCUUGCUCCACGGAUUCCAGCCCGUAUAGCCGACAUUACCACGUGAAUACACUCACGUCCAGCCGUCAUCCCUAGCUUUUAUACCCUCCAUUUCUUUGCUUUUAGUAAAGGUAUACUCACCGUGCCCCCUGAUGACAGGGUUACCCCUCAUCGUGGUAUCCAGGGUCCAGUACGCACCACUCUCUGUGUGAAAGCCAAGCAGCCCCUAUCCCUGCCCGCGCCGAGCCACUUCUGAUGGCAGCAGGGUCCACUGCCUGCGGUGUAGCGAAAUCAGAGCUCUCUGUCGCUGCUGAUGUCGACGGCCAGGCCGUAUAUAUAGCGAUGCCUCAGAACGACCUGCGACUGUGAGCACGUCUGUGGCAUCCACAUGAUAGACAGAGUGCCAGCGUGGCUCGAAUGCACCUCACCCGGCGCUGCCUGCCUGCGGGCGGGAGCCUAGCUCACCCCGAGCGAUUCAGCGCAUGGCGACCUGCUGUGCGGGGGGGGAGCUUCAGGCGGAAGCCAUGCUCAGGUGACGGGGUCGGCUUUGCCCUAACACGUGUUUCCCUCUGCUUUGCCCCACGCAACGGGGCCUGUGACAGGCCGCGGUGGAGCCGAGCUGGAGUCAUGCUGUGCGGCAGAAUAGGGAUGCUGAGGGAAAAACGUUUCACCAUCCUAUGCCUGCCGCCCAACGUGAUGGAGGACCACAUGAUUUGGAUAAAGUCACUUACGAGAUAUUCGCAUCCACUCGAGACUUUCGCCAACUCCCAGCCGAAACUCAGAACGACAUUAUCACACCCGGCUUCGGUUUCACUACAGCCUCCCCCCCUUUCAUGUCAUAAGCCUUGCCGCCAAACUUCAUCUUCCGAAGCAGCGCAGCUUCCUCUUCGCGCCUCAUCACUUGUUUACCCGCAGCUUCAUACGAACGCGCUAAAAACAGUGCAGAACUAGAAACGAGUAAAAAAAGCCCCCCCCCCCCCCCUGACUGAGAGACUAUCAUGCACCACUCUGAGGUUGCGAGCCGCGUGUGCCUGUGUGUGCGCUGCUGAUGCGCGGAGGAGGAGCAGCGAGGGUGCGGGUGCGUGCGGCGCACUGCGCCUCGCCAGGGCGGUCGCCGUUGCCCUCGCGGCCUGUUGCUCCGCGCGCCGCUGUGGACCUGUGCACAGAUGAUGAUUGACUGUAACAUCACAGACUUUGAGUCGCGAUGAUAGCAACCAUGUCGCCCCAGUCUGACGUGCGCCGGCGCCGUGCACGCCGUGUGGGUGUGCGCGUGCGCAUCUAGAGAGCUGUGCCUGUGUGAUGUCGCGGGGGCCGUGCGUGCCCGCCGCUGCGCGUUGACAUGAUCGACACCUAGGCUGAUGUAAAGCCGUCGCAGAUGGACGUUGAGUGGCGCACGCCGUGAAACCAACCCCGCCUCGUCUGAUCGCGCGCACUCCUUCCUCCCCACCCCUGCCGCGCGGCAUCUCUGCCCUGUGCUGCGGCCCCGCCACCCACAACGCCUGCUGCCGCGCUGCGCGAGCAAGUGCGCGUGUGCGGCGUGCGUGGCGCUGCUUGUACUGCUGGUGCUACUGCUGCCCACUGGCCCCGUCACCUUGAGGGCGCCCGUGCCGCCUGUCGGCGCAUGCUGGGCGUACGGCCUCGAGUCGCUGCGGCGCUGGCGCACGUGCGUGCAUGUGCCGUCUGCGCUGCGAUUCGGGGGGCCACAGAGCAAGGGAUGCGAGCGCGCGGCGUGAUGCUCGGCGUGCUGCGCGCGCGCCUGACGCACCGCCGCGCGCCGCGGUUCCCGUUACGCAUAUCCUGUGUGCGCUCCAGCCCCGUCGGGGCCAUGACGAGUCCGCAACCAACCAUGCGUUACACAUUGCCUGCGCGCGCGCGAGGAGACGACGCGCUCACUGUAGUGCGCGUGCCGCAAGACCCACAGGCACCGUGCAUGAAACUGGAGCGCUAGAUUGUAGGCUGCCCGCGGACGCGGUGCCACGGUGCGGGGGAUGACAGACAACACGACAACAAAGCACAGUUUGAGCUGAUGCACCGCUGCCGCGUUUGUGGCCGACACCGGUGCCCCCCGCCGCUGCGUGGGACGCCGCUGGCGGUGCGCGUGCGCAGUACGAUUAAACACGGACGCGCCGCUGCAUACGCUUGGUGCUGGCGCCGUCCGCCAGUGUCGUACGAGAUGUGGGAGGGGCGACGGCGUGCUGGUGCCGGUGCAGUGCCGUCAGGUAAAGUGACGAUGGUGUGUCCCAUCCGCGCCACUGGUUCAGGCGGCACGAGAGCGAGCGACGGAGUAUGCGUGUGUGCUGCUGCUGCUGCUGCUGCUGCUGCGAUGGGAGCGGCGUGCACGGCGACACACUGACGCACAGGCACAUAGAGAGAGAAAGAGCGCGACAGGGACGCAGACGCAGGAUGCACAAAACUGAUUCAGGCGUGCCGACGCACGCAUCAGGAGCCCCCUGACUGAGAGACUAUCAUGCACCACUCUGAGGUUGCGAGCCGCGUGUGCCUGUGUGUGCGCUGCUGAUGCGCGGAGGAGGAGCAGCGAGGGUGCGGGUGCGUGCGGCGCACUGCGCCUCGCCAGGGCGGUCGCCGUUGCCCUCGCGGCCUGUUGCUCCGCGCGCCGCUGUGGACCUGUGCACAGAUGAUGAUUGACUGUAACAUCACAGACUUUGAGUCGCGAUGAUAGCAACCAUGUCGCCCCAGUCUGACGUGCGCCGGCGCCGUGCACGCCGUGUGGGUGUGCGCGUGCGCAUCUAGAGAGCUGUGCCUGUGUGAUGUCGCGGGGGCCGUGCGUGCCCGCCGCUGCGCGUUGACAUGAUCGACACCUAGGCUGAUGUAAAGCCGUCGCAGAUGGACGUUGAGUGGCGCACGCCGUGAAACCAACCCCGCCUCGUCUGAUCGCGCGCACUCCUUCCUCCCCACCCCUGCCGCGCGGCACCUCUGCCCUGUGCUGCGGCCCCGCCACCCACAACGCCUGCUGCCGCGCUGCGCGAGCAAGUGCGCGUGUGCGGCGUGCGUGGCGCUGCUUGUACUGCUGGUGCUACUGCUGCCCACUGGCCCCGUCACCUUGAGGGCGCCCGUGCCGCCUGUCGGCGCAUGCUGGGCGUACGGCCUCGAGUCGCUGCGGCGCUGGCGCACGUGCGUGCAUGUGCCGUCUGCGCUGCGAUUCGGGGGGCCACAGAGCAAGGGAUGCGAGCGCGCGGCGUGAUGCUCGGCGUGCUGCGCGCGCGCCUGACGCACCGCCGCGCGCCGCGGUUCCCGUUACGCAUAUCCUGUGUGCGCUCCAGCCCCGUCGGGGCCAUGACGAGUCCGCAACCAACCAUGCGUUACACAUUGCCUGCGCGCGCGCGAGGAGACGACGCGCUCACUGUAGUGCGCGUGCCGCAAGACCCACAGGCACCGUGCAUGAAACUGGAGCGCUAGAUUGUAGGCUGCCCGCGGACGCGGUGCCACGGUGCGGGGGAUGACAGACAACACGACAACAAAGCACAGUUUGAGCUGAUGCACCGCUGCCGCGUUUGUGGCCGACACCGGUGCCCCCCGCCGCUGCGUGGGACGCCGCUGGCGGUGCGCGUGCGCAGUACGAUUAAACACGGACGCGCCGCUGCAUACGCUUGGUGCUGGCGCCGUCCGCCAGUGUCGUACGAGAUGUGGGAGGGGCGACGGCGUGCUGGUGCCGGUGCAGUGCCGUCAGGUAAAGUGACGAUGGUGUGUCCCAUCCGCGCCACUGGUUCAGGCGGCACGAGAGCGAGCGACGGAGUAUGCGUGUGUGCUGCUGCUGCUGCUGCUGCUGCUGCGAUGGGAGCGGCGUGCACGGCGACACACUGACGCACAGGCACAUAGAGAGAGAAAGAGCGCGACAGGGACGCAGACGCAGGAUGCACAAAACUGAUUCAGGCGUGCCGACGCACGCAUCAGGAGCCCCCUGACUGAGAGACUAUCAUGCACCACUCUGAGGUUGCGAGCCGCGUGUGCCUGUGUGUGCGCUGCUGAUGCGCGGAGGAGGAGCAGCGAGGGUGCGGGUGCGUGCGGCGCACUGCGCCUCGCCAGGGCGGUCGCCGUUGCCCUCGCGGCCUGUUGCUCCGCGCGCCGCUGUGGACCUGUGCACAGAUGAUGAUUGACUGUAACAUCACAGACUUUGAGUCGCGAUGAUAGCAACCAUGUCGCCCCAGUCUGACGUGCGCCGGCGCCGUGCACGCCGUGUGGGUGUGCGCGUGCGCAUCUAGAGAGCUGUGCCUGUGUGAUGUCGCGGGGGCCGUGCGUGCCCGCCGCUGCGCGUUGACAUGAUCGACACCUAGGCUGAUGUAAAGCCGUCGCAGAUGGACGUUGAGUGGCGCACGCCGUGAAACCAACCCCGCCUCGUCUGAUCGCGCGCACUCCUUCCUCCCCACCCCUGCCGCGCGGCAUCUCUGCCCUGUGCUGCGGCCCCGCCACCCACAACGCCUGCUGCCGCGCUGCGCGAGCAAGUGCGCGUGUGCGGCGUGCGUGGCGCUGCUUGUACUGCUGGUGCUACUGCUGCCCACUGGCCCCGUCACCUUGAGGGCGCCCGUGCCGCCUGUCGGCGCAUGCUGGGCGUACGGCCUCGAGUCGCUGCGGCGCUGGCGCACGUGCGUGCAUGUGCCGUCUGCGCUGCGAUUCGGGGGGCCACAGAGCAAGGGAUGCGAGCGCGCGGCGUGAUGCUCGGCGUGCUGCGCGCGCGCCUGACGCACCGCCGCGCGCCGCGGUUCCCGUUACGCAUAUCCUGUGUGCGCUCCAGCCCCGUCGGGGCCAUGACGAGUCCGCAACCAACCAUGCGUUACACAUUGCCUGCGCGCGCGCGAGGAGACGACGCGCUCACUGUAGUGCGCGUGCCGCAAGACCCACAGGCACCGUGCAUGAAACUGGAGCGCUAGAUUGUAGGCUGCCCGCGGACGCGGUGCCACGGUGCGGGGGAUGACAGACAACACGACAACAAAGCACAGUUUGAGCUGAUGCACCGCUGAUAGACAACGUCACACAUGAGCUAAGUCUGCUGACGCACCGCUGCCGCGUUUGUGGCCGACACCGGUGCCCCCCGCCGCUGCGUGGGACGCCGCUGGCGGUGCGCGUGCGCAGUACGAUUAAACACGGACGCGCCGCUGCAUACGCUUGGUGCUGGCGCCGUCCGCCAGUGUCGUACGAGAUGUGGGAGGGGCGACGGCGUGCUGGUGCCGGUGCAGUGCCGUCAGGUAAAGUGACGAUGGUGUGUCCCAUCCGCGCCACUGGUUCAGGCGGCACGAGAGCGAGCGACGGAGUAUGCGUGUGUGCUGCUGCUGCUGCUGCUGCUGCUGCUGCUGCGAUGGGAGCGGCGUGCACGGCGACACACUGACGCACAGGCACAUAGAGAGAGAAAGAGCGCGACAGGGACGCAGACGCAGGAUGCACAAAACUGAUUCAGGCGUGCCGACGCACGCAUCAGGAGCCCCCUGACUGAGAGACUAUCAUGCACCACUCUGAGGUUGCGAGCCGCGUGUGCCUGUGUGUGCGCUGCUGAUGCGCGGAGGAGGAGCAGCGAGGGUGCGGGUGCGUGCGGCGCACUGCGCCUCGCCAGGGCGGUCGCCGUUGCCCUCGCGGCCUGUUGCUCCGCGCGCCGCUGUGGACCUGUGCACAGAUGAUGAUUGACUGUAACAUCACAGACUUUGAGUCGCGAUGAUAGCAACCAUGUCGCCCCAGUCUGACGUGCGCCGGCGCCGUGCACGCCGUGUGGGUGUGCGCGUGCGCAUCUAGAGAGCUGUGCCUGUGUGAUGUCGCGGGGGCCGUGCGUGCCCGCCGCUGCGCGUUGACAUGAUCGACACCUAGGCUGAUGUAAAGCCGUCGCAGAUGGACGUUGAGUGGCGCACGCCGUGAAACCAACCCCGCCUCGUCUGAUCGCGCGCACUCCUUCCUCCACACCCCUGCCGCGCGGCAUCUCUGCCCUGUGCUGCGGCCCCGCCACCCACAACGCCUGCUGCCGCGCUGCGCGAGCAAGUGCGCGUGUGCGGCGUGCGUGGCGCUGCUUGUACUGCUGGUGCUACUGCUGCCCACUGGCCCCGUCACCUUGAGGGCGCCCGUGCCGCCUGUCGGCGCAUGCUGGGCGUACGGCCUCGAGUCGCUGCGGCGCUGGCGCACGUGCGUGCAUGUGCCGUCUGCGCUGCGAUUCGGGGGGCCACAGAGCAAGGGAUGCGAGCGCGCGGCGUGAUGCUCGGCGUGCUGCGCGCGCGCCUGACGCACCGCCGCGCGCCGCGGUUCCCGUUACGCAUAUCCUGUGUGCGCUCCAGCCCCGUCGGGGCCAUGACGAGUCCGCAACCAACCAUGCGUUACACAUUGCCUGCGCGCGCGCGAGGAGACGACGCGCUCACUGUAGUGCGCGUGCCGCAAGACCCACAGGCACCGUGCAUGAAACUGGAGCGCUAGAUUGUAGGCUGCCCGCGGACGCGGUGCCACGGUGCGGGGGAUGACAGACAACACGACAACAAAGCACAGUUUGAGCUGAUGCACCGCUGCCGCCUUUGUGGCCGACACCGGUGCCCCCCGCCGCUGCGUGGGACGCCGCUGGCGGUGCGCGUGCGCAGUACGAUUAAACACGGACGCGCCGCUGCAUACGCUUGGUGCUGGCGCCGUCCGCCAGUGUCGUACGAGAUGUGGGAGGGGCGACGGCGUGCUGGUGCCGGUGCAGUGCCGUCAGGUAAAGUGACGAUGGUGUGUCCCAUCCGCGCCACUGGUUCAGGCGGCACGAGAGCGAGCGACGGAGUAUGCGUGUGUGCUGCUGCUGCUGCUGCUGCUGCUGCGAUGGGAGCGGCGUGCACGGCGACACACUGACGCACAGGCACAUAGAGAGAGAAAGAGCGCGACAGGGACGCAGACGCAGGAUGCACAAAACUGAUUCAGGCGUGCCGACGCACGCAUCAGGAGCCCCCUGACUGAGAGACUAUCAUGCACCACUCUGAGGUUGCGAGCCGCGUGUGCCUGUGUGUGCGCUGCUGAUGCGCGGAGGAGGAGCAGCGAGGGUGCGGGUGCGUGCGGCGCACUGCGCCUCGCCAGGGCGGUCGCCGUUGCCCUCGCGGCCUGUUGCUCCGCGCGCCGCUGUGGACCUGUGCACAGAUGAUGAUUGACUGUAACAUCACAGACUUUGAGUCGCGAUGAUAGCAACCAUGUCGCCCCAGUCUGACGUGCGCCGGCGCCGUGCACGCCGUGUGGGUGUGCGCGUGCGCAUCUAGAGAGCUGUGCCUGUGUGAUGUCGCGGGGGCCGUGCGUGCCCGCCGCUGCGCGUUGACAUGAUCGACACCUAGGCUGAUGUAAAGCCGUCGCAGAUGGACGUUGAGUGGCGCACGCCGUGAAACCAACCCCGCCUCGUCUGAUCGCGCGCACUCCUUCCUCCCCACCCCUGCCGCGCGGCAUCUCUGCCCUGUGCUGCGGCCCCGCCACCCACAACGCCUGCUGCCGCGCUGCGCGAGCAAGUGCGCGUGUGCGGCGUGCGUGGCGCUGCUUGUACUGCUGGUGCUACUGCUGCCCACUGGCCCCGUCACCUUGAGGGCGCCCGUGCCGCCUGUCGGCGCAUGCUGGGCGUACGGCCUCGAGUCGCUGCGGCGCUGGCGCACGUGCGUGCAUGUGCCGUCUGCGCUGCGAUUCGGGGGGCCACAGAGCAAGGGAUGCGAGCGCGCGGCGUGAUGCUCGGCGUGCUGCGCGCGCGCCUGACGCACCGCCGCGCGCCGCGGUUCCCGUUACGCAUAUCCUGUGUGCGCUCCAGCCCCGUCGGGGCCAUGACGAGUCCGCAACCAACCAUGCGUUACACAUUGCCUGCGCGCGCGCGAGGAGACGACGCGCUCACUGUAGUGCGCGUGCCGCAAGACCCACAGGCACCGUGCAUGAAACUGGAGCGCUAGAUUGUAGGCUGCCCGCGGACGCGGUGCCACGGUGCGGGGGAUGACAGACAACACGACAACAAAGCACAGUUUGAGCUGAUGCACCGCUGCCGCCUUUGUGGCCGACACCGGUGCCCCCCGCCGCUGCGUGGGACGCCGCUGGCGGUGCGCGUGCGCAGUACGAUUAAACACGGACGCGCCGCUGCAUACGCUUGGUGCUGGCGCCGUCCGCCAGUGUCGUACGAGAUGUGGGAGGGGCGACGGCGUGCUGGUGCCGGUGCAGUGCCGUCAGGUAAAGUGACGAUGGUGUGUCCCAUCCGCGCCACUGGUUCAGGCGGCACGAGAGCGAGCGACGGAGUAUGCGUGUGUGCUGCUGCUGCUGCUGCUGCUGCUGCGAUGGGAGCGGCGUGCACGGCGACACACUGACGCACAGGCACAUAGAGAGAGAAAGAGCGCGACAGGGACGCAGACGCAGGAUGCACAAAACUGAUUCAGGCGUGCCGACGCACGCAUCAGGAGCCCCCUGACUGAGAGACUAUCAUGCACCACUCUGAGGUUGCGAGCCGCGUGUGCCUGUGUGUGCGCUGCUGAUGCGCGGAGGAGGAGCAGCGAGGGUGCGGGUGCGUGCGGCGCACUGCGCCUCGCCAGGGCGGUCGCCGUUGCCCUCGCGGCCUGUUGCUCCGCGCGCCGCUGUGGACCUGUGCACAGAUGAUGAUUGACUGUAACAUCACAGACUUUGAGUCGCGAUGAUAGCAACCAUGUCGCCCCAGUCUGACGUGCGCCGGCGCCGUGCACGCCGUGUGGGUGUGCGCGUGCGCAUCUAGAGAGCUGUGCCUGUGUGAUGUCGCGGGGGCCGUGCGUGCCCGCCGCUGCGCGUUGACAUGAUCGACACCUAGGCUGAUGUAAAGCCGUCGCAGAUGGACGUUGAGUGGCGCACGCCGUGAAACCAACCCCGCCUCGUCUGAUCGCGCGCACUCCUUCCUCCCCACCCCUGCCGCGCGGCAUCUCUGCCCUGUGCUGCGGCCCCGCCACCCACAACGCCUGCUGCCGCGCUGCGCGAGCAAGUGCGCGUGUGCGGCGUGCGUGGCGCUGCUUGUACUGCUGGUGCUACUGCUGCCCACUGGCCCCGUCACCUUGAGGGCGCCCGUGCCGCCUGUCGGCGCAUGCUGGGCGUACGGCCUCGAGUCGCUGCGGCGCUGGCGCACGUGCGUGCAUGUGCCGUCUGCGCUGCGAUUCGGGGGGCCACAGAGCAAGGGAUGCGAGCGCGCGGCGUGAUGCUCGGCGUGCUGCGCGCGCGCCUGACGCACCGCCGCGCGCCGCGGUUCCCGUUACGCAUAUCCUGUGUGCGCUCCAGCCCCGUCGGGGCCAUGACGAGUCCGCAACCAACCAUGCGUUACACAUUGCCUGCGCGCGCGCGAGGAGACGACGCGCUCACUGUAGUGCGCGUGCCGCAAGACCCACAGGCACCGUGCAUGAAACUGGAGCGCUAGAUUGUAGGCUGCCCGCGGACGCGGUGCCACGGUGCGGGGGAUGACAGACAACACGACAACAAAGCACAGUUUGAGCUGAUGCACCGCUGCCGCCUUUGUGGCCGACACCGGUGCCCCCCGCCGCUGCGUGGGACGCCGCUGGCGGUGCGCGUGCGCAGUACGAUUAAACACGGACGCGCCGCUGCAUACGCUUGGUGCUGGCGCCGUCCGCCAGUGUCGUACGAGAUGUGGGAGGGGCGACGGCGUGCUGGUGCCGGUGCAGUGCCGUCAGGUAAAGUGACGAUGGUGUGUCCCAUCCGCGCCACUGGUUCAGGCGGCACGAGAGCGAGCGACGGAGUAUGCGUGUGUGCUGCUGCUGCUGCUGCUGCUGCUGCGAUGGGAGCGGCGUGCACGGCGACACACUGACGCACAGGCACAUAGAGAGAGAAAGAGCGCGACAGGGACGCAGACGCAGGAUGCACAAAACUGAUUCAGGCGUGCCGACGCACGCAUCAGGAGCCCCCUGACUGAGAGACUAUCAUGCACCACUCUGAGGUUGCGAGCCGCGUGUGCCUGUGUGUGCGCUGCUGAUGCGCGGAGGAGGAGCAGCGAGGGUGCGGGUGCGUGCGGCGCACUGCGCCUCGCCAGGGCGGUCGCCGUUGCCCUCGCGGCCUGUUGCUCCGCGCGCCGCUGUGGACCUGUGCACAGAUGAUGAUUGACUGUAACAUCACAGACUUUGAGUCGCGAUGAUAGCAACCAUGUCGCCCCAGUCUGACGUGCGCCGGCGCCGUGCACGCCGUGUGGGUGUGCGCGUGCGCAUCUAGAGAGCUGUGCCUGUGUGAUGUCGCGGGGGCCGUGCGUGCCCGCCGCUGCGCGUUGACAUGAUCGACACCUAGGCUGAUGUAAAGCCGUCGCAGAUGGACGUUGAGUGGCGCACGCCGUGAAACCAACCCCGCCUCGUCUGAUCGCGCGCACUCCUUCCUCCCCACCCCUGCCGCGCGGCAUCUCUGCCCUGUGCUGCGGCCCCGCCACCCACAACGCCUGCUGCCGCGCUGCGCGAGCAAGUGCGCGUGUGCGGCGUGCGUGGCGCUGCUUGUACUGCUGGUGCUACUGCUGCCCACUGGCCCCGUCACCUUGAGGGCGCCCGUGCCGCCUGUCGGCGCAUGCUGGGCGUACGGCCUCGAGUCGCUGCGGCGCUGGCGCACGUGCGUGCAUGUGCCGUCUGCGCUGCGAUUCGGGGGGCCACAGAGCAAGGGAUGCGAGCGCGCGGCGUGAUGCUCGGCGUGCUGCGCGCGCGCCUGACGCACCGCCGCGCGCCGCGGUUCCCGUUACGCAUAUCCUGUGUGCGCUCCAGCCCCGUCGGGGCCAUGACGAGUCCGCAACCAACCAUGCGUUACACAUUGCCUGCGCGCGCGCGAGGAGACGACGCGCUCACUGUAGUGCGCGUGCCGCAAGACCCACAGGCACCGUGCAUGAAACUGGAGCGCUAGAUUGUAGGCUGCCCGCGGACGCGGUGCCACGGUGCGGGGGAUGACAGACAACACGACAACAAAGCACAGUUUGAGCUGAUGCACCGCUGCCGCGUUUGUGGCCGACACCGGUGCCCCCCGCCGCUGCGUGGGACGCCGCUGGCGGUGCGCGUGCGCAGUACGAUUAAACACGGACGCGCCGCUGCAUACGCUUGGUGCUGGCGCCGUCCGCCAGUGUCGUACGAGAUGUGGGAGGGGCGACGGCGUGCUGGUGCCGGUGCAGUGCCGUCAGGUAAAGUGACGAUGGUGUGUCCCAUCCGCGCCACUGGUUCAGGCGGCACGAGAGCGAGCGACGGAGUAUGCGUGUGUGCUGCUGCUGCUGCUGCUGCUGCUGCUGCGAUGGGAGCGGCGUGCACGGCGACACACUGACGCACAGGCACAUAGAGAGAGAAAGAGCGCGACAGGGACGCAGACGCAGGAUGCACAAAACUGAUUCAGGCGUGCCGACGCACGCAUCAGGAGCCCCCUGACUGAGAGACUAUCAUGCACCACUCUGAGGUUGCGAGCCGCGUGUGCCUGUGUGUGCGCUGCUGAUGCGCGGAGGAGGAGCAGCGAGGGUGCGGGUGCGUGCGGCGCACUGCGCCUCGCCAGGGCGGUCGCCGUUGCCCUCGCGGCCUGUUGCUCCGCGCGCCGCUGUGGACCUGUGCACAGAUGAUGAUUGACUGUAACAUCACAGACUUUGAGUCGCGAUGAUAGCAACCAUGUCGCCCCAGUCUGACGUGCGCCGGCGCCGUGCACGCCGUGUGGGUGUGCGCGUGCGCAUCUAGAGAGCUGUGCCUGUGUGAUGUCGCGGGGGCCGUGCGUGCCCGCCGCUGCGCGUUGACAUGAUCGACACCUAGGCUGAUGUAAAGCCGUCGCAGAUGGACGUUGAGUGGCGCACGCCGUGAAACCAACCCCGCCUCGUCUGAUCGCGCGCACUCCUUCCUCCCCACCCCUGCCGCGCGGCAUCUCUGCCCUGUGCUGCGGCCCCGCCACCCACAACGCCUGCUGCCGCGCUGCGCGAGCAAGUGCGCGUGUGCGGCGUGCGUGGCGCUGCUUGUACUGCUGGUGCUACUGCUGCCCACUGGCCCCGUCACCUUGAGGGCGCCCGUGCCGCCUGUCGGCGCAUGCUGGGCGUACGGCCUCGAGUCGCUGCGGCGCUGGCGCACGUGCGUGCAUGUGCCGUCUGCGCUGCGAUUCGGGGGGCCACAGAGCAAGGGAUGCGAGCGCGCGGCGUGAUGCUCGGCGUGCUGCGCGCGCGCCUGACGCACCGCCGCGCGCCGCGGUUCCCGUUACGCAUAUCCUGUGUGCGCUCCAGCCCCGUCGGGGCCAUGACGAGUCCGCAACCAACCAUGCGUUACACAUUGCCUGCGCGCGCGCGAGGAGACGACGCGCUCACUGUAGUGCGCGUGCCGCAAGACCCACAGGCACCGUGCAUGAAACUGGAGCGCUAGAUUGUAGGCUGCCCGCGGACGCGGUGCCACGGUGCGGGGGAUGACAGACAACACGACAACAAAGCACAGUUUGAGCUGAUGCACCGCUGCCGCCUUUGUGGCCGACACCGGUGCCCCCCGCCGCUGCGUGGGACGCCGCUGGCGGUGCGCGUGCGCAGUACGAUUAAACACGGACGCGCCGCUGCAUACGCUUGGUGCUGGCGCCGUCCGCCAGUGUCGUACGAGAUGUGGGAGGGGCGACGGCGUGCUGGUGCCGGUGCAGUGCCGUCAGGUAAAGUGACGAUGGUGUGUCCCAUCCGCGCCACUGGUUCAGGCGGCACGAGAGCGAGCGACGGAGUAUGCGUGUGUGCUGCUGCUGCUGCUGCUGCUGCGAUGGGAGCGGCGUGCACGGCGACACACUGACGCACAGGCACAUAGAGAGAGAAAGAGCGCGACAGGGACGCAGACGCAGGAUGCACAAAACUGAUUCAGGCGUGCCGACGCACGCAUCAGGAGCCCCCUGACUGAGAGACUAUCAUGCACCACUCUGAGGUUGCGAGCCGCGUGUGCCUGUGUGUGCGCUGCUGAUGCGCGGAGGAGGAGCAGCGAGGGUGCGGGUGCGUGCGGCGCACUGCGCCUCGCCAGGGCGGUCGCCGUUGCCCUCGCGGCCUGUUGCUCCGCGCGCCGCUGUGGACCUGUGCACAGAUGAUGAUUGACUGUAACAUCACAGACUUUGAGUCGCGAUGAUAGCAACCAUGUCGCCCCAGUCUGACGUGCGCCGGCGCCGUGCACGCCGUGUGGGUGUGCGCGUGCGCAUCUAGAGAGCUGUGCCUGUGUGAUGUCGCGGGGGCCGUGCGUGCCCGCCGCUGCGCGUUGACAUGAUCGACACCUAGGCUGAUGUAAAGCCGUCGCAGAUGGACGUUGAGUGGCGCACGCCGUGAAACCAACCCCGCCUCGUCUGAUCGCGCGCACUCCUUCCUCCCCACCCCUGCCGCGCGGCAUCUCUGCCCUGUGCUGCGGCCCCGCCACCCACAACGCCUGCUGCCGCGCUGCGCGAGCAAGUGCGCGUGUGCGGCGUGCGUGGCGCUGCUUGUACUGCUGGUGCUACUGCUGCCCACUGGCCCCGUCACCUUGAGGGCGCCCGUGCCGCCUGUCGGCGCAUGCUGGGCGUACGGCCUCGAGUCGCUGCGGCGCUGGCGCACGUGCGUGCAUGUGCCGUCUGCGCUGCGAUUCGGGGGGCCACAGAGCAAGGGAUGCGAGCGCGCGGCGUGAUGCUCGGCGUGCUGCGCGCGCGCCUGACGCACCGCCGCGCGCCGCGGUUCCCGUUACGCAUAUCCUGUGUGCGCUCCAGCCCCGUCGGGGCCAUGACGAGUCCGCAACCAACCAUGCGUUACACAUUGCCUGCGCGCGCGCGAGGAGACGACGCGCUCACUGUAGUGCGCGUGCCGCAAGACCCACAGGCACCGUGCAUGAAACUGGAGCGCUAGAUUGUAGGCUGCCCGCGGACGCGGUGCCACGGUGCGGGGGAUGACAGACAACACGACAACAAAGCACAGUUUGAGCUGAUGCACCGCUGCCGCGUUUGUGGCCGACACCGGUGCCCCCCGCCGCUGCGUGGGACGCCGCUGGCGGUGCGCGUGCGCAGUACGAUUAAACACGGACGCGCCGCUGCAUACGCUUGGUGCUGGCGCCGUCCGCCAGUGUCGUACGAGAUGUGGGAGGGGCGACGGCGUGCUGGUGCCGGUGCAGUGCCGUCAGGUAAAGUGACGAUGGUGUGUCCCAUCCGCGCCACUGGUUCAGGCGGCACGAGAGCGAGCGACGGAGUAUGCGUGUGUGCUGCUGCUGCUGCUGCUGCUGCUGCGAUGGGAGCGGCGUGCACGGCGACACACUGACGCACAGGCACAUAGAGAGAGAAAGAGCGCGACAGGGACGCAGACGCAGGAUGCACAAAACUGAUUCAGGCGUGCCGACGCACGCAUCAGGAGCCCCCUGACUGAGAGACUAUCAUGCACCACUCUGAGGUUGCGAGCCGCGUGUGCCUGUGUGUGCGCUGCUGAUGCGCGGAGGAGGAGCAGCGAGGGUGCGGGUGCGUGCGGCGCACUGCGCCUCGCCAGGGCGGUCGCCGUUGCCCUCGCGGCCUGUUGCUCCGCGCGCCGCUGUGGACCUGUGCACAGAUGAUGAUUGACUGUAACAUCACAGACUUUGAGUCGCGAUGAUAGCAACCAUGUCGCCCCAGUCUGACGUGCGCCGGCGCCGUGCACGCCGUGUGGGUGUGCGCGUGCGCAUCUAGAGAGCUGUGCCUGUGUGAUGUCGCGGGGGCCGUGCGUGCCCGCCGCUGCGCGUUGACAUGAUCGACACCUAGGCUGAUGUAAAGCCGUCGCAGAUGGACGUUGAGUGGCGCACGCCGUGAAACCAACCCCGCCUCGUCUGAUCGCGCGCACUCCUUCCUCCCCACCCCUGCCGCGCGGCAUCUCUGCCCUGUGCUGCGGCCCCGCCACCCACAACGCCUGCUGCCGCGCUGCGCGAGCAAGUGCGUGUGCGCGAGUGAGACGAAGCGUCGGUGUGGGGGCGGUGUGAGCUCUAUUGUUUGGCGCCGAGAACCCUGUCACUGCUGCUGCCCUAUCGCUUUAUUUGCGGUACGUAUAGUUUCUCCUUCCCUUCUGUGCGGCAGCGUGGGGGUGUGGUAUGACGGGAACGAGAGAAAAGGUUGGUUUCAGUGGGACGAGUGGGCGGGGAGGGGGGUAUGGAAGCGAGGAACUCGAGGACGGUCUGCCAUGAAACGCAAGCGAUGCGUGUUGGGGGCGCCAGACAGAGAAAUGAGAGGCGCUGGCCGGUGGAUGGGCGCUGAGGGAGAGAGAUGUAGGCGCUCAGAGAAAGGGCCAUUGUUGACUGCCGUAGACGUUUGUGACGAGACGCUCAGCUACCCGCUCUCUCUGCCUUUUUCCGCAGACACUCUCAAAGGAAGAUACCUUAGCCGACCCUCGGGGUGCUUUAUUAAUGCUUCGGCAGACGUAUAUGUACACUGAUGUCUGCCUGCUCCUCCUCCAUCGCUAGGCUGGUGGGAUGCUAUGUCUCGCGCCUUCCUUCAACUUACUUCGCUGUCUUGUGCACUUCUCACGUUUGUCUCUCUCUCUCACAG
rnacentral:snoRNA from 1 species